rnacentral:rRNA from 1 species
GACGAACGCUGGCGGCGUGCUUAACACAUGCAAGUCGAACGGAAAGGCCCUGCUUUUGUGGGGUGCUCGAUUGGCGAACGGGGGAGUAACACGUGAGUAACCUGCCCUUGUCUUUGGGAUAACUUCAGGAAACUGGGGCUAAUACCGGAUAGGAUCUCCUGCUCCAUGUUGGUGGUUGGAAAGUUUCGGCGGUUGGGGAUGGAAUCGCUGCUUAUCAGCUUGUUGGUGGGGUAGUGGCUGACCAAGGCUUUGACGGGUAGCCGGCCUGGGAGGGUGACCGGCCUCAUUGGGACUGAGGGACGGCGCAGACUCCAACGGGCGGCAGCAGUGGGAAAUAUUGCACAAUAAGCGGAAGCCUGAUGUAGCAACGCCCGGUGCGGGAUGACGGCUUUCGGGUUGUAAACAGAUGUCGAAGGUGACGAAGCGGGAGUGACGGUAAUGAGUCAAGAAGCACCGGCUAACUACGUG